CAUCUGGUAGGAUUAAUUAAUCCAAAGUUUACAUCUGACAGUAAUUAAAAAUCACCAAGCCAAUGAGAUAUAAAUAGGAUUUCAACUGUAAUAAAGAGAAGAGAGAGGAAGGAAGUGGAGGUUAUUUGUAGAAAAGAGAAAUUCAAAAGGUCAAAUUCUUCCAGAAGAAUUUAAAAUCUCCAAAUUGGAGAGGAAUUUUCAUGCACAGACCACAACUGGCUCCAAGAAGUCAAGAAAGCAAGAACUAGCUGACACAGGGCAAGUAAACCUGUGAUUGAAUUAAUGGCUGAUUCAAUAAAAUUAAUACACUCCUGUAAGUCACAUGAAGCACAGGUCCAAGGAACAGAUGGCUGAAUAUAUCUGCAGACUCGCAUUGACAAACUACA
rnacentral:lncRNA from 1 species